CCUACGGGAGGCAGCAGUGGGGAAUAUUGCGCAAUGGGCGAAAGCCUGACGCAGCGACGCCGCGUGAGGGAUGAAGGUCUUCGGAUCGUAAACCUCUGUCAGCAGGGAAGAACGGUCACUGUGCUAAUCAGCAGUGAAUUGACGGUACCUGCAAAGGAAGCACCGGCUAACUCCGUGCCAGCAGCCGCGGUAAUACGGAGGGUGCGAGCGUUAAUCGGAAUUACUGGGCGUAAAGCGCUCGUAGGCGGUAUGUCAAGUCAAGGGUGAAAUCCCCGCGCUCAACGUGGGAACUGCCUUUGAAACUGGCAAACUGGAGUGUGGGAGAGGGUAGUGGAAUUCCAGGUGUAGGAGUGAAAUGCGUAGAUAUCUGGAGGAACAUCAGUGGCGAAGGCGACUAUCUGGCACAUAACUGACGCUGAGGAGCGAAAGCGUGGGUAGCAAACAGGAUUAGAUACCCCGGUAGUC
rnacentral:rRNA from 1 species